GUGGAGUUGAGUUACAGCACCAAGAGCACCCUGGGCUAUAAGGGAACUAGAAUGCAGUUGUUAGCAGCAGCGAAUCUGCAUGGGUCUGCAGCAACCUCAAGUCUCCUCAGAAGAAAGAAUUUGACCAAGGGGCAUAAGGCAGAAGGAGAGACCCGGGCAAGCUUCAGAGCAAGAGUGGAAGUUUAUUAAAAAGCUUCAGAGCAGGAAUGAAAGAAAAGUACACUUGGAAGAGAGCCAAACAGGUGACUUGAGAGAUCAAGUAAAACCUCAUUAACGUAACUGCAACAAUGAAGACAUUACCUAGCUCUAUCUCGACUGAGGUACAAGGUUGUUAAAAUGUGGACAGAUUGGAGCGCUACAAAAAU
rnacentral:lncRNA from 1 species